rnacentral:rRNA from 1 species
UAGGGAAUAUUGCACAAUGGAGGAAACUCUGAUGCAGCCAUGCCGCGUGUGUGAAGAAGGCCUUCGGGUUGUAAAGCACUUUCAGAGGAGAGGAGAAUGACGUUACCCUCAGAAGAAGCACCGGCUAACUCCGUGCCAGCAGCCGCGGUAAUACGGAGGGUGCAAGCGUUAAUCGGAAUAACUGGGCGUAAAGGGCAUGCAGGCGGUCGGGCAAGUAGGAUGUGAAAGCCCCGGGCUCAACCUGGGAACUGCAUUCUAAACUGUCCGACUAGAGUGUUGCAGGGGGAGACGGAAUUCCAGGUGUAGCGGUGGAAUGCGUAGAUAUCUGGAAGAACACCAAAGGCGAAGGCAGUCUCCUGGGCAAAUACUGACGCUCAUAUGCGAAAGCGUGGGUAGCAAACAGGAUUAGAUACCCUGGUA